rnacentral:rRNA from 1 species
CCUACGGGGGGCAGCAGUGAGGAAUAUUGGUCAAUGGGCGGAAGCCUGAACCAGCCAAGUCGCGUGAGGGAAUAAGGCCCUACGGGUCGUAAACUUCUUUUGCCGGGGAGCAAGGUCGGGGACGUGUCCCGUCCCGGAGAGUACCCGGAGAAAAAGCAUGGGCUAACUCCGUGCCAGCAGCCGCGGUAAUCCGGAGGAUGCGAGCGUUAUCCGGAUUUAUGGGGUUUAAGGGGUGCGUAGGCGGGCGUUUAAGUCAGCGGUAAAGAUUCGGGGCUCAACCCCGUCCGGCCGUUGAAACUGGGGGCCUUGAGUGGGCGAGAAGAAGGCGGAAUGCGUGGUGUAGCGGUGAAAUGCAUAGAUAUCACGCAGAACCCCGAUUGCGAAGGCAGCCUUCCGGAGCCCUACUGACGCUGAGGCACGAAAGUGCGGGGAUCGAACAGGAUUAGAUACCCGAGUAGUC